rnacentral:snRNA from 1 species
AUCCUUACCUGGCAGGGGAGACACCGUGAUCAGGCAGGUGGUUUUCCCAGGGCAAGGCUCAUCGCCCGCGCUCCGGUGGGCUGACCCCUGCGAUUUCCCCCAGUGGGGAAACUCAACCACACAAUUUGUGGUAGUGGGGGAACUUCAUUUACUUUCCUG